rnacentral:rRNA from 1 species
AACGAACGCUGGCGGCAUGCCUAACACAUGCAAGUCGAACGAGACCUUCGGGUCUAGUGGCGCACGGGUGCGUAACGCGUGGGAACCUGCCCUUAGGGUCGGCAUAACUCCCCGAAAGGGGUGCUAAUACCGGAUAAUGUCUUCGGACCAAAGAUUUAUCGCCUUUGGAUGGGCCCUCGUUGGAUUAGCUAGUUGGUAGGGUAAAAGCCUACCAAGGCGACGAUCCAUAGCUGGUCUGAGAGGAUGAUCAGCCACUCUGAGACUGAGACACGGCCCAGAAUCCUACGGGAAGCAGCAGUGGGGGAUAUUGGACAAUGGGCGAAAGCAUGAUCCAGCUAUGCCGCGUGAGUGAUGAAGGCCUUAGGGUUGUAAUGCUCUUUUACCCGGGAUGAUAAUGACAGUACCGGGAGAAUAAGCUCCGGCUAACUCCGUG